AGUGAACGCUGGCGGUAGGCCUAACACAUGCAAGUCGAACGGCAGCACAGUAAGAGCUUGCUCUUACGGGUGGCGAGUGGCGGACGGGUGAGGAAUACAUCGGAAUCUACUUUUUCGUGGGGGAUAACGUAGGGAAACUUACGCUAAUACCGCAUACGACCUACGGUUGAAAGCAGGGGAUCUUCGGACCUUGCGCGAUUGAAUGAGCCGAUGUCGGAUUAGCUAGUUGGCGGGGUAAAGGCCCACCAAGUCGACGAUCCGUAGCUGGUCUGAGAGGAUGAUCAGCCACACUGGAACUGAGACACGGUCCAGACUCCUACGGGAGGCAGCAGUGGGGAAUAUUGGACAAAGGGCGCAAGCCUGAUCCAGCCAUACCGCGUGGGUGAAGAAGGCCUUCGGGUUGUAAAGCCCUUUUGUUGGGAAAGAAAAGCAGCAGGUUAAUACCCCGCUGUUCUGACGGUACCCAAAGAAUAAGCACCGGCUAACUUCGUG
rnacentral:rRNA from 1 species